UUGCCUAAAUCCAAGGUGUGACCUUCUUCCUCUUUCUUCUUCCUCAGGAAAAUGCAUCUGUUCUCAAGAAGUAAACCAUGAGGUCCAUGUAAACAGUUCCCACAUCCGUAUCUUCCACCUGGAUCUCUUACCUGCCCCUGCUUCUGUUUCCUACCUUCACGUGCAUUCCAGAUAACCUGAUCUUCAGAUGGAGACCCAUGAAACGGUCAUCAUUUCAGAGCUAUAAUUUCCUGUCUUAGAGGAACUUCACACAUCCUACCAUGCACUGAGCAAGGAGAAUUCAUCAGCCUUUCAGGGAAUGGUUUUUGAGAUCUGGAGGAACAGAACAAAACUAUCUCUAAUCGCCCCAGCUGGAGCUGACAUCUCCAAGCCUCCCCUGAACCACUAUAACCAUCUGCGUCCUUUCUUCAACAUCAAGUGCAGCCGUUCCCUGGAGUUACUUAUUAGCACGCCUUGUUUGCCUUUUUCUCUCCCAACUAGUUUGUGAACUCCUGGGAGAAACAGACUGUACUUGAUUCAACUUGAACUCUGGACAAAAUAUGAAAAACAACUAUUAAGGGACUCUGAAAAAUAAAUAAAACCAGGAAUAUUGAGGAAGAGAGUCAAAAUCUGGGAAAGCAAUCCAUAUGGAGGAAACAUCAACAUCCAAAGUCUCUUGAGAGUUGAAUUCUGAAAGAUCCUGAUCCCUGCUGCUGUUCCCCAUCCCAGCUCUCCUUCCUGUUGUGUCUUCUCGUUUCCAAAUAUAAAACUGA